rnacentral:RNase_P_RNA from 1 species
CCGCAUAUGCGCUCUAUCGCUGCCACGCAAGUGGGGGAGGAAAGUCCGAGCAACAUAGAGCACCACGCAAGUUAACGGCUUGAUACUCGUGAGGGUAUAGUAGCGUAGAAGAAAAUAACCGCCUCGCAAGAGGUAAGGGUGAGAAGGCGGGGUAAGAGCCCACCGCGAGGGUAGCAAUACUCCUCGGCAGUACGCCUCGUGGGUUGCAAGACCAUGUAUACCGACAAUUAAGGGUUGCUCGUCCAAUGUCGGGGGGUAGGUUGCUAGAGACGGCAAGUGAUUGCCGUAGUAGAUAAAUGAUAGAGGCUCGCUCCCUCGGGAGAGAGUACAGAACUCGGCUUAUAGCGUAUGCAAAAUU